UUGGUUUGUUAACUUGUUCUUGAAAGUUAUUUCGAAAAGUGAUAGAUAAUGCCUAAAAAAAGAUAUAAUAGGUAUAAUGAAGAAUCGCAGCUGAUGAUUUUAAAUAUAUUGGCUUUUUUUCAACUGGAAAAGGAACAAGUCCGAAACGGAAUUGCACUUCAAAUUGAGAAUGUGAUACAGCGAGCCGCAGAUGCAACAAAAUUGAGCACAACAACGAUCGCAAAUAUAAAGAAGAAUGGGAUAAAAUCAGAUCAGGAUGUAUAUCUUCCAAGCAAAAGACAGCAAAAACCAAAAUUACAACAUAUUUGAAACAUAGAAUUCGGGACACAAUUUAUUCUAUGUACGCCAGAAAAGAAUAUUGACUCCUUAAGAAGAUGGAUCAAUAGUAUAGGCUUCAAGUGGAAAAAAUAAAAUAACAGAAGAUAUUUAAUGGACUUGCCAAAUAUUGUUCAUAAAAGAAUUAAUUUUUUAAGGGAGUAUAUCAAAAAUAGAAAUGUAGGUCCAGAAGGUUUUACUCCAGUUUUCAUUGACGAGACGUGGAUUUUUAGCAAGGGAUCAUUUCGUAGUAGCUAGCAAGAUGACACCAAGCACACGGAUUCAAGGAAAAACAGUAAAGGUCAUCGUUAUAUCGUGGUCCACACUGGAACCAAAGAUGGCUUCAUCAAGGGUGCAAAUUUAAUAUUCAAGAGUGGAUUAAAGACGAAAGAUUAUCAUGACAAUAUGAACAGAAAAAACUUGAUUAACUGAAACUUGAAUCGAAAACUGGUUUAAAACUCAGCUGGUUCCAAAUAUUCCCCCAAAGUCAUUUAUAAUCAUGGACAAUGCAAGUUACCAUGAAAAUGUAAUGUUAAUGCAAUUGAAAUGGUUUCAAUUUCAUUAACUUGGUAAUGCAAUAUGGCGUGUUUUUUUUGAGUUUGUAUGUUUUAUUUUUUGGAAUGCUAUUUUCAUUUUAAUGUGUUAACAUAUUCCUUCAAGCUUUUUUUUUCAUGAACAAGUAAAUUAAAUUGUCAGUAUUUUUCCCAGUGAGCAAAAAUAAUUUUAUACCUAAUAUUCACAAUUUUUGUAAGCUCGGUUUUGUUACGUCUACUGCUCGUGGCAAAUUCUACUUUUCAAAUAUGUUGUAGAUUUGGUUUUUGCGGUCUUUUGCUUGCAAAAUAUAUAAGCAGCGUAAUCCUGAUCUGAUUUUAUCCCAUUCUUCUUUAUAUUUGCUAUCGUUGUUGUGCUCAAUUUUGUUGCAUCUGCGGCUCGCUCUACCACAUUCUCAAUUUGAAGUGCAAUUCCGUUUCGGACUUGUUGUUUAUGUCCCAUUAUUUAUGAUUAAUAAUAAUAAUAUACAAAUUCAAUAGGCCUACAAAUGGGUAUAAUUUCCACUAUAAAACCUAUAAUUAUCGAUGAGCAGCACGAUUUUUUUUUCCCAAACGAUCAAUUGAUUCCAACUUAGUUGUUUACUAGGAAUAUAUACUCUGUUCAAUAGAUUGUCAGACGCAGGUAGACUAUGUGUACACCGACUUCAGCAAAGCAUUUGACAAAAUUGAUCAUAACACUUUAUUACAGAAACUUGCUGGAGUGGGAGUUCAUGGAGAUCUCCUGCGGUGGUUGGCGUCGUACAUUUUUAAUCGAUCCCAGUAUGUCACUGUACAUGGCAACCAGUCCUCCACGUAUCCAGUUACCUCAAGCGUACCUCAAUGUUCCCACUUGGGGCCCUUACUAUUUAUAAUCUAUUUAAAUGAAUGAAUAUUACUUUAUGCAGACGAUAUUAAGAUUUUUGCUUCCAUUAAUAAUCUCGGUGAUUGCUUUCUCUUACAAAUUGAUUUGGACAGAUUUUGUGAUUAUUGUCAGAGAAAUAAACUUUACCUUAAUUAUGAUAAAUGCGCAUUCAUUAGUUUUAAACCUAAUACAAACCUAUUUCAAUUCGACUAUGGAAUUUUACUUAAGAGGACUGAUAAAGUGAGGGAUCUGGGUGUCAUAUAUGAUCAAAAGCUAACUUUCGCAGAACAUAUUAAUUACUUAAGCAUCAAGUGUAAUCGAAUGCUGGGAUUGAAGAAAUAGUAGGCUAUUCAUGUCUAAUAGCUCUCCAAAAGCAUUAUAUUUUGCCUAUAUUUAUAGUCGUUUGGGUUUUGCCUCCGUCGUCUGGGCUCCGCAAUACACGGUGCAUGCUAACAGAUUGGAAACAAUACAAAAUAAAUUUUUAAGAUUUUUGGACUAUAAAAAUACUGGUAUAUUUAACCUACAUGCUAAUUUAAUAGAACUUAGAGUUAUAUAUCAAUUAUAUUCACUCGAAACACGGCGCUCUCACAUAGACAUGUUCUUUCUCUAUAAAAUAAGUAACUAUCAGAUUGACUCGAGUUAUCUAAUAUCCCAAAUACCUUUUCAUAUACCUGAGCGAAAUGUUCGAAAUUCUUAUUUGUUUCCAGUCUGUUUGUAUAAAACUAAUAUAGCAAGGAAUUCGCCGUUAAGUCAUAUGCUUUCCUUAUAUAAUUCCAAAUUUUUUUCUGAAGAUUUAUU
rnacentral:lncRNA from 1 species